CAGGCCUAACACAUGCAAGUCGAACGCCCCCGCAAGGGGGAGUGGCAGACGGGUGAGUAACACGUGGGAACAUACCCUUCGGUUCGGAACAACGCCGGGAAACUGGCGCUAAUACCGGAUACGCCCUUUUGGGGAAAGGCUUGCCGCCGAAGGAGUGGCCCGCGUUCGAUUAGCUAGAUGGCGGGGUAACGGCCCACCAUGGCGACGAUCGAUAGCUGGUCUGAGAGGAUGGCCAGCCACAUUGGGACUGAGACACGGCCCAAACUCCUACGGGAGGCAGCAGUGGGGAAUAUUGGACAAUGGGCGCAAGCCUGAUCCAGCCAUGCCGCGUGAGUGAUGACGGCCUUAGGGUUGUAAAGCUCUUUCGCACGCGACGAUAAUGACGGUAGCGUGAGAAGAAGCCCCGGCUAACUUCGUGCCAGCAGCCGCGGUAAU
rnacentral:rRNA from 1 species